rnacentral:rRNA from 1 species
AACCUGCCUGUAAGACUGGGAUAACUCCGGGAAACCGGGGCUAAUACCGGAUGCUUGUUUGAACCGCAUGGUUCAAACAUAAAAGGUGGCUUCGGCUACCACUUACAGAUGGACCCGCGGCGCAUUAGCUAGUUGGUGAGGUAAUGGCUCACCAAGGCAACGAUGCGUAGCCGACCUGAGAGGGUGAUCGGCCACACUGGGACUGAGACACGGCCCAGACUCCUACGGGAGGCAGCAGUAGGGAAUCUUCCGCAAUGGACGAAAGUCUGACGGAGCAACGCCGCGUGAGUGAUGAAGGUUUUCGGAUCGUAAAGCUCUGUUGUUAGGGAAGAACAAGUGCCGUUCAAAUAGGGCGGCACCUUGACGGUACCUAACCAGAAAGCCACGGCUAACUACGUGCCAGCAGCCGCGGUAAUACGUAGGUGGCAAGCGUUGUCCGGAAUUAUUGGGCGUAAAGGGCUCGCAGGCGGUUUCUUAAGUCUGAUGUGAAAGCCCCCGGCUCAACCGGGGAGGGUCAUUGGAAACUGGGGAACUUGAGUGCAGAAGAGGAGAGUGGAAUUCCACGUGUAGCGGUGAAAUGCGUAGAGAUGUGGAGGAACA